rnacentral:lncRNA from 1 species
UGGACGCCGUACUUUGGCCCUGCCUUGAGCUGGAAGUAUCCUAGUGUACCUCCUGUACGUCUCUCUGGACUCUUCUUAUGGCCACCUUCAAGGAGAUGGGAGUGUCUGGCUUCAAGGAUUUCAACAUGGCAGUAAAGGAGAACCAGGAAAAAAGCACUCUCUCCUAAUUCAAUGAUUUUAAGGAUGGCAAAGGGAAAAGCUGGUUUCCAGAGUGCUUGGAAGCAGAGUUAGUCAUUUGAGAGGUGCUAACUUAUGUUACUGAUGACUGUGUGUUCAUCUACUGCCAAGCAAGUGUCAGAUAUUUUGGAAAGAAAUAAAUCAUGACUUCAGAAAAAAAAUAAAACUACCUGCAGUGCCUACAUUACUUAAAUAUGGAGCACCUCAAAAACUUGUGGAGUUUGAGUGCCUUAGACCAUUUUAGUGGAGAUAAUCUCUGAAGCUUAUCAUUUGAUGACCUCUCCCAUGUGACAGUAGUGUCACGUGCCUUUGGUUCUAGCACUCAGCAGGCAGAGGCAGGGGAUCCAUAAGUUUGAGACCAGCCUUAUCUGCAGAGAGUUCCAGGACAGCCAGGGUUGCACAGAAGCCCUGUCUAGAGCUCCUCUCCCUCCUAAAAAGUUUUGAUGAUUGCAAUUGCAUCUUGAUUUCCUGGAUCUCUUAAAACCAGUCAUAUACUUUUGUCAAGUCCAUGGGUAAAUGAUGAUGUGAAAAUGAAUGUGUCUAAACAAUAAAGUAUUACUUUUCUGUUUUUUUCUUAAGAUGUCCAUCAAUUUUGAGUAUUCUUUCAAGAUUUAGCUCUUUAUUUAUAUGAUUUCUUAUAAUUAAAAAAAAUUCUAUUGUAUGAACUU